GGAAAAGAAACUAACAAAGAUUGACAUAGUAAGGGCGACUGAAAUGUCACUAGCUCAGCAUGUGAAUCAGCGUUCACUUUAGURAGCGYUGAAUUGUGGUCUUAGGGUUGUUGCACCAUUUAGGCCAGACUAUGUUUUUUGGAAUAAAAUAGCAAAGAGGGUGAAACUCCCGUUUGUCUGGCCUUACAAAGCAUCARCUAUUGAGUCGAGUUGUUUGGGAUUGCAGCUCAAAUGCGGUGGUAAAUUCCAUCUCAAGCUAAAUAUUAGCAGGAAACCGAUAGUGAAMAAGUACCGUGAGGGAAAGAUGCAAAGAACUUUGAAAAGAGAGUGAAAGAGUACCUGAAAUUGCUGAAAAGGAAGCUAACGAAGCUAGUGAAAGCUCUGUCAUACUUUCCAAUUUGCUUGCAAUUUGGACGCUGUGACUGGCUAAGUCCGACYAGAUUGCAAUAUGCGAAAAUUGGUAUUGGAAAGACUUAUUUCCUUUUGCCUACAGCGCUUGCUGUGAUUCAGUCGAACCAAAUAGCUUUGUUUGUCCCGUCUAGAAACACGGACCAAGGAGUCUAACAUAUGUGCGAGUACUGGGGUAGCCAACCUUGGUGCGCAAUGAAAGUGUCAGAGGCUAGAAGCAAUCAAGCUUGCAGAGUCCGCCGGCCUCAAUCCCUCGGGAAAAUGGUCUGAGUGUGAGCAUACAUGUUGGGACCCGAAAGAUGGUGAACUAUGCUUGAGUAGGGUGAAGCCAGGGGAAACUUUGGUGAAGGCUCGCAGCGAUUCUGACGUGCAAAUCGAUCGUCAAACUUGAGUAUAGGGGCGAAAGACUAAUCGAACUAUCUAGUAGCUGGUUCCCUCCGAAAUUUCCCUUAGGAUAGCUGCAAUCUCAUUAACAGCCAGUUUUGUCA
rnacentral:rRNA from 1 species